GACGAACGCCGGCGGCGUGCCUAAUACAUGCAAGUAGAACGCUGAAGAGAGGAGCUUGCUCUUCUUGGAUGAGUUGCGAACGGGUGAGUAACGCGUAGGUAACCUGCCUUGUAGCGGGGGAUAACUAUUGGAAACGAUAGCUAAUACCGCAUAACAAUAGGUGACACAUGUCAUUUAUUUGAAAGGGGCAAUUGCUCCACUACAAGAUGGACCUGCGUUGUAUUAGCUAGUAGGUGAGGUAACGGCUCACCUAGGCGACGAUACAUAGCCGACCUGAGAGGGUGAUCGGCCACACUGGGACUGAGACACGGCCCAGACUCCUACGGGAGGCAGCAGUAGGGAAUCUUCGGCAAUGGGGGCAACCCUGACCGAGCAACGCCGCGUGAGUGAAGAAGGUUUUCGGAUCGUAAAGCUCUGUUGUAAGUCAAGAACGAGUGUGAGAGUGGAAAGUUCACACUGUGACGGUAGCUUACCAGAAAGGGACGGCUAACUACGUG
rnacentral:rRNA from 1 species